GGGAAUACACAGGUACACUACUGUCUUAUCUAAAACAGACUUCACUAGAGUCCAACAUAAGAUAUUUUCUAAACCUAUAACUAUUGUUAAUACAGCUUUAUUUGUUUUAAAUUCUUUAAACCUACUUACAACAAGGAGAUAC